GAUGAACGCUGGCGGCGUGCUUAACACAUGCAAGUCGAACGGAAAGGCCAGUGCUUGCACUGGUACUCGAGUGGCGAACGGGUGAGUAACACGUGGGUGAUCUGCCCUGCACUUCGGGAUAAGCCUGGGAAACUGGGUCUAAUACCGGAUAGGACAAUGGUUUGGAUGCCGUUGUGGAAAGUUUUUUCGGUGUGGGAUGAGCUCGCGGCCUAUCAGCUUGUUGGUGGGGUAAUGGCCUACCAAGGCGUCGACGGGUAGCCGGCCUGAGAGGGUGUACGGCCAGAUUGGGACCGGGAUACGGGCCGGACUCCGAAGGGAUGCAGCAGGGGGGAAUAUUGGACCAAGGGCGGCAGCCUGAUGGAGGGACGCCGCCGGGGGGAUGACGGCCUUCGGGUUGUAAACUCCUUUCGCUAGGGACGAAGCGUAUUUGUGACGGUACCUGGAGAAGAAGCACCGGCUAACUACGUG
rnacentral:rRNA from 1 species